ACGAUGAAGAGUUUGAUCCUGGCUCAGGAUGAACGCUAGCGGCAGGCUUAACACAUGCAAGUCGAGGGGUAUGGUUUUUCGGAACCAGAGACCGGCGCACGGGUGCGUAACGCGUA
rnacentral:rRNA from 1 species